rnacentral:lncRNA from 10 species
AUGAGUAUCAAGGUCUGGUUCCAGUAUCAAUGCUCGUGGCCACUACACUCUGCUGCUGCCUCAUAUUCUAUAUGCCUUGUACACUGUCACUCCACUGAAGUGCUGGUGGUGGUGUGUGUGUAUGAGAAAGAGAGAGAACUGGGGCAUCGGGAGGCCCCCAGCCCUCACACCUACCAGCCCAGCCACUGUGCAGAACGCAGGGAUCCUGCCUGGAGAAGCAGGGUGCCCUGCCCCAUCUGCACUGGACACUUGGGACCACAGCCGCUGCCCUGUGAGCUGCAGCACAGCUCCUCCAUCUAGAAACCUGGCAGCUAUCCCAGCUGGAAGCUACCUGCCAACACUUUUCUGAAGACCAGCCAGGGGAGGAAGAACAGGAGGGCAGAGGGCUGAGGAGGGAGGGAAAAGAAGAUGCAAAUCUAAUUCCAUUGGCCUCCAGCCCUCUUCAGAUCUCUGUGCUUCCAGAGGGGGUGACAUACUCAUAUUCAGCAGCCAUCACUGCUCUUGCUUGUAAAAGUCCUAUUUAGAUGUAAGCACACUGCCCUGAGGUUUCAGAUUCCAGAAUUACCCUAAUAUUCCUCUUUACUUUGCAGUUAUGCAGAACCAGGAACACCCCAUUGACUGGAAUAAUGACCUCCCAGGCAGAAGAGUGGUGGGUUGAUAUUCUGAUGUCUCUUCACCCUUAUACUAGUCAUUAAAUUAUGUACCUUCUUCUCACCUCCAUAAUGAGCCACAACCCUGUCCAACUUUUCUAGGAGGAGGACCUCUUGUUAAUGUCAAAUUUUAUACCAUUCCCACAUGAUAGUAGUUGUACUUUUAGCAUCUGUCAAUUUUUAAAAUAUGUGAUAAAAAGCACCUGAGUUCAGUAAAAUUUGGAUUAAUUUUUAUUUUAUUAAUCACGUGGUAUUGAAUUACAUUUGAAACCAUCGUGGAUGGGGAGGCUGCAGUACUCUGUAAAUACCAGUGAGAUUAAUAAAGCGCUUGUGGUGAAUAUGGAUUCAUGGACCUAUUUACAAUAACUCAACACCCUAGAGAAGGGGUGAUUCACAGGCUGGGGCACCACUGGAGAGAAACAGGGGCCAGACUUGCCCAGUUUUGUGUGUGCAUGGGCUGGGUCCAGGAGCAGCUCUGUGAGCUCCUUCCAAGUCUGUGCCCUUGGGAAAAGAUCAGUAUUUAGAGCAGGCCCACCCACAGGAAACCACACUGUUAAAAAUCCCUUCUUUCAUGGUUCUGAAACCUUCAAAACAAACAAAGCUACCCUGUAGGCUGGGACUUCAGUUAUAUCCUUUGGGUUCAUAUUACAAACCUUCCAAGGAAAAGUACCUCAUGGCAGCUGGAGCAAAGGAGGGGAAAGUUAAGUAGACAAGACACUUACUAGGACAGGCAGCUCUAGUCCAGGGGCCUCCCAAGGGGAGCAUGAUUUCAAGUUUGCUGCUCUCCCACAAACGAGAAGGGAACUAAAGAAGAGGUAUAUGAAGACAGCUGGUUGGAAACAGAGGUGAUAAUUCAAGUACUUAGAAACCAGUAGGGCCUGGGAGUCAGUGCAUUGGAAUGAACUGAUGAGCCAGAGCUCCUAAAAAGGCCCUGAAGCACAGUCUUCUCCCCCAUUACCCCAAAGAGCAAGUAUUAACUCUUUGGUUGCUGGAUCAAGGCAAGGUGAGGGGUUCCAAGGUGGCUGGGGUGGUUGUACCAGGACUGGAUGCAGAGUCAACUUAGCAGCCAGUAAGGAAGCAUUUAUAUUUAACAACUGGAUAUGCUACACCCCUGCAUAUUGGCAGCUGAAAUCUGUAAUCAACAACUCGAAGUGUCUCAUAAAGGGUUUUGGAGCCAUGGGGAGAAAAUAUUGACAAAAUCCAGUUCCUUUGUUUCUCUCACUAUUGCUCUAACUGGUUAAAACCUAGGCUGUCUUCUCCUGAGAAAAUGACACCUUUAGAUAAAAGCAUCUCUUCCCAAGGUGGAAAAAGAGACUACUACGACUGAGUGCCUACUAUGUGCCCACCCUGAGCUUGGAGUUUUAUAAACAUGGCUUCAUUUUCCCUUGCAACCACCACCUGGGUGGGUAUUUAUUACUCCCAUCUUACAGACGAGCAGCCUGGUGCCCAGGGUCACACAUCUGGUAAAAGGUGGAUCCAAGCUCCCCCCCAAAUCUCCCUGACUCCUAAGCUGUUUGGAACCUUCUUUCCUACCUCAUCACACCACAGUUUGGAAGGUUUUCUUGUUAACAUGUCAGUGAUACAAUUCUCCAGGUGAGCAUUAGUGCUGUGCAUUUUAUCAAACAGGUCCACUGUAUUCUUUGUAACCCUUCAAAUGAGUCUUCUUAUAUAACAAUAUUUUCAUUUUGUUUCCAUUUAUUAACUAGUAACUUUUUUUUUUUUUUUUUUUUGAGAUGGAGUCUCACUCUGUUGCCCAGGCUGGAGUGCGGUGGCACGAUCUCAGCUCACUGCAAGCUCCGACUCCUGGGUUCACGUCAUUCUCCUGCCUCAGCCUCCCGAGUAGCUGGGACUACAGGCGCCCACCACCACGCCCAGCUAAUUUUUUUUGUAUUUUUAGUAGAGAUGGGGUUUCACUGUGUUAGCCAGGAUCGUCUCAAUCUCCUGCCCUUGUAAUCCGCCCACCUCAGCCUCCAAAACUGUUGGGAUUGUAGGCGGGAGCCACUGCACCUGGCCAGCUAGUAACUCUUUAAUCAACCUAAUCACAUUGAAUUUAUCACUUACAGUGGAGCAAUGAAUGAAGCCACAUGUAACUUAUUAUUUGAAGUACAUGCUUACCAUAUGUAGCAAGGCC